rnacentral:rRNA from 1 species
GAUGAACGCUGGCGGCGUGCCUAAUACAUGCAAGUCGAGCGAACAGACGAGGAGCUUGCUCCUCUGACGUUAGCGGCGGACGGGUGAGUAACACGUGGAUAACCUACCUAUAAGACUGGGAUAACUUCGGGAAACCGGAGCUAAUACCGGAUAAUAUAUUGAACCGCAUGGUUCAAUAGUGAAAUACGGUUUUGCUGUCACUUAUAGAUGGAUCCGCGCCGCAUUAGCUAGUUGGUAAGGUAACGGCUUACCAAGGCAACGAUGCGUAGCCGACCUGAGAGGGUGAUCGGCCACACUGGAACUGAGACACGGUCCAGACUCCUACGGGAGGCAGCAGUAGGGAAUCUUACGCAAUGGGCGAAAGCUUGACGGAGCAACGCCGCGUGAGUGAUGAAGGUCUUCGGAUCGUAAAAAUCUGUUAUUAGGGAAGAACAAAUGUGUAAGUAACUAUGCACGUAUUGACGGUACCUAAUCAGAAAGCCACGGCUAACUACGUG